GUAAUUAAGUCCAUCAAACGCUUAACCUUUGACCCCGAAAUGUGAGUAGCUACUCCACAAACUGAUGGUUGCAGGGAGGCAGAGAAGAGAAACCCCAAAGAAAAAAACCCCACGAGUGCAGAUACUGAAAGACAGACAACAAUUCACAAGACUUUCUCGCGGAGAGAGGCAGAGAGUGAGGGAGAGAGAGAGAGAGCUGAUAAAUUAUGCAGUGACCGCGGUGUGGGGGCUUUCUGUUCUGCAAUUUUGCGAGUUCAUUUUCCAUUACAAGCAACUCCGACCCCGCCUGUCUGCAAGUCGCUCAACACUUUCACUUAGUCUUGGCAGAGCCAUCAGAGCUGCCAACUUGUUGCACUCCCUCUCCCCCUCUCUCUCCCUUUGCCCUUUGCCCUUUGCCCAUUCCCAUUCCGUUCUUCUUUCCUUGUUCCUCCUUACUUGCCUUUUUCUCGCUUUUCUAUUUGCAUUUUUUUCUGUUAGCUGCUUCUCGUCUCAUUUCAAAUUAUUUGCUUUAAUGGCAGCGCCAACAAAGUCGUGAAGGUUGGCUGGGUGACAAUGAAGGGAAGAACGACACGACUGAGCGCCCAAUGAGCGGAGAUGCGAAGAUCCUCAGUGAGUAGAUUUCUACCAAAACAUUAAGAUAAACUCAAAUUUUGGGUCUCCCUCCAAUGUAGGUGUCUAUCCCCAAGAUAAUCCCGGAUAAAUGGCGUUAAACACACGGCAAGCCCUUCGAUCCAACACAAAAUCCGUUUGCCCAAAACACUGCGCCCCCCUCAGCAGGUCGUCGAAAUAAAAAACUUUUUCAUUACAUUUCCCAUUUCCGCAUUAAAGAGCGAUAAAGUGGGAGGAAGAGCAACAAGAAGAUGAAG
rnacentral:lncRNA from 1 species